rnacentral:miRNA from 1 species
CCAGGCUCUCUACUUCCGCUUCCCUCCCUAACACGCUCCAGCGUGUCCUCCCUAACACGCUGGAACGUGUUUGGGAGGGAAGCGGAAGUAGAUAGCCUGG